GAUGAACGCUGGCGGCGUGCCUAAUACAUGCAAGUCGAGCGAACAGACGAGGAGCUUGCUCCUCUGACGUUAGCGGCGGACGGGUGAGUAACACGUGGAUAACCUACCUAUAAGACUGGGAUAACUUCGGGAAACCGGAGCUAAUACCGGAUAAUAUAUUGAACCGCAUGGUUCAAUAGUGAAAGACGGUUUUGCUGUCACUUAUAGAUGGAUCCGCGCCGCAUUAGCUAGUUGGUAAGGUAACGGCUUACCAAGGCAACGAUGCGUAGCCGACCUGAGAGGGGGAUAGGCCACACUGGAACGGAGACACGGUCCAGACUCCUACGGGAGGCAGCAGUAGGGAAUCUUCCGCAAUGGGCGAAAGCUUGACGGAGCAACGCCGCGUGAGUGAUGAAGGUCUUCGGAUCGUAAAACUCUGUUAUUAGGGAAGAACAAAUGUGUAAGUAACUAUGCACGUCUUGACGGUACCUAAUAAGAAAGCCACGGCUAACUACGUG
rnacentral:rRNA from 1 species